AGCUUUGUGCAGUGGCAGUAUCGUAGCCAAUGUUUAUCUGAGGGACGAUUAUUGCUAAUUGAAAACUUUUCCCAAUACCCCGCCAUGACGACUUGCAAUAUAGUCGGCGUCGACAAUUUUUGACAGUCUGUAUAGGGA
ensembl:snRNA U4 U4 spliceosomal RNA